AGAAUUACUUGUAAUGAUUCUGCAUUUUGAUGAAGUUCAUGAGAUUUUUGAGUGGCCUGUAUAAAAAAGCACUAGGGGCAAGGAGGCGGCAGCACACCAGCUAGAGCGUUAGCGGAUGCCAAGAGACCUGGAAAUUAGAAGGAGCGGGAUUAUGAGUUACGGAAAAAAAGUGAAACAGGAAAAACAACAAGAACAUUGGGAAGACCUCCGCACCAUCUGGUAACAUGGCCUCAUGGAAGAAAAUGACCAGGACACACAGCUGGGUCAGGCUUUGUUUACUGAGAAAAGAGAAAGAAUGCUCUUGGCUCCAAACUGAAGAAAUCUGCAAGUUGAGCCUUGUUUUAGAAGACCAGAUGCAUCAUUGAAGGGCAAGAUGAUGGACCACCAAACCCCAACAAGAAGUCAGCAGAGUCUGCUCCCACGCUCCUGACCCUCCCCUACCUUUGGAACCCUAGUGUAAAUAAGCCCUGUCUACAAAUCGUCAUGGGUAGUCUGUUGUAACUGCAGAGUUGACCAAGAUGAGAUCUAGUAGACAAUCGCUGGACCAUGCUUUUAACCCCUUCAGUGUUUUAGAUUUCAGAUUGCCGGGCUGUUGGGCAGCUGGAGGUAUGAAAAGCUGAGGAAUGUAGUCAGCAGUGCCUCUGUGGCUAUGUGGAUGCUUCCAAGCUGCCUUGGCAUUGCUUGCUUUUGUUUCCAGUGAGCAAGGAGCAGUAAGAGUUGGUGCGGGGAAGCCCAGAUAUUUUUUGUUCAAAGUCUGUUUGGAAGGAGCCUGACCCACACAGAUGAAGGAGAGCUGAAGAGUCAUAGGGUCUGGCUGGGCCCUGGGGUAUGGUCCUAGGUUGACCAGAACUCCGCAGCUCUUCCUGUUGCCUAGCAGUAGCAUGGCCAACAAUGUUGGCUACAAAGUCUGUUGGGGGAGCUUGGUUCGUGCCCAGACCAGGUGUGAGCCCCUGGCUGCCAUCCCCAGACUCUCCCCCACCAUGGUCUGCAGGUCUCUCACCCCGGUCACCUGCUCCUCAUCAUUUUUCUGCCAGCAAAGAAGCUAUUUAAUCCCAGGACCUUAACCUGUGCCAUCUCUCUGCUGGUGACAUCCCUCCCCAGAGCUCCAGUUCUAACUCGUGGGAAUGGGCACCCUCCCCUCCCCGCCCCGCACAGGGGUGACAUUGAGAAUCAGAUGCGGCACCAGAUGUAAAGCGGCAUCCGGAAACCCAAGAGCCCUGUCUGCCUCCAGCAUGCGCCUUGCUGUUAUUAGACAACACGUCACUGCCUCGGUACAGCUGGAACUGUCCUGCAGCUGGGCUGCCUCCAACGAUAGCCAGAGGCUCGGAAAGUCCGAAGUCACCUGACCCAGAACCAAGGCCAGCUUUCUCUCUCCGAAAGCCACGGAAGCAGCAAAUUAAAGCUCCCACAAGUCCCAGGCCUGCCGGAUCUGAGGAUGCCCAUCCCUGUGAAUGAAUGCCAGGUGGCCAGGAAGGGCAAACAGCUUACUUUCAUGACUCUCUCACUUGCUCUCAAUUGUUUGCUUACAAGAGAGGAGGAGGCAGUGAGAGGCCGGGCUGUCCAGUCACUAGGGGUGAGCUGUCCCAUUGCCAGCCAAUCCCGUCUGCCAGAGCUGGCGCUGGAAAGGCCCUGGCCCCAUCUUGCCAGGACACUUUAUCUUUGUCCCAGAACACAAAAGUAGCCUUGUCUUGGCCCCUGCAGCACCAAUUCCACAUGCUCCUGACUGCCCUGGCCCCUCUGCCCCUAGAAUGGCGUACUUUGUCAAGUCAAAAGACUAACUUGUUUCUUUUUCAUCAAAAUGUGUUGACUGACCUGGCUGAUUUAUCUUGGGAAAAUGGAGGAUGGGGGAGGGGAACAAGGUGACAAGAACGAGCACAAGAACACAAUCCAAAAUGCCAGCCAGACUGCCACAGUCAGGAGUGGGCUCAUAGCUUGUACAAAGAGCAAAUAAUGGCUGUGUGUUGGGUGCAGUGUCAGGCGCUGAGGCUAGUCCUGAAACUUACUGGUAACACGGAACCACCAUUAGCUAUUUUUUUUUUUUU